CCACCAGUCUAGAAGGGGGGAACAGGGCUCUUAAUCCGAUGCUUGCCAGACGCGGGCAGAGGAUCGGCUGCCUCCUCCACCUCGAGUGUUCCAGAAGGCCGCAGCUGGAGCCUUACAUGGGUUAUGCACGUCCCAAUCAAGCACUUUCAGGCUCAACUUGUGCCUAGGUGCCUCACAAAGAGGGUAAGCAGUUUUGUGCCAACGGUCUGAUAGUAGAAGUCAGAUUUUCGGCUAAG